rnacentral:rRNA from 1 species
AGUGAACGCUGGCGGUAGGCCUAACACAUGCAAGUCGAACGGCAGCACAGUAAGAGCUUGCUCUUACGGGUGGCGAGUGGCGGACGGGUGAGGAAUACAUCGGAAUCUACUUUUUCGUGGGGGAUAACGUAGGGAAACUUACUCUAAUACCGCAUACGACCUACGGGUGAAAGCAGGGGAUCUUCGGACCUUGCGCGAUUGAAUGAGCCGAUGUCGGGUUAGCUAGUUGGCGGGGUAAAGGCCCACCAAGGCGACGAUCCGUAGCUGGUCUGAGAGGAUGAUCAGCCACACUGGAACUGAGACACGGUCCAGACUCCUACGGGAGGCAGCAGUGGGGAAUAUUGGACAAUGGGCGCAAGCCUGAUCCAGCCAUACCGCGUGGGUGAAGAAGGCCUUCGGGUUGUAAAGCCCUUUUGUUGGGAAAGAAAAGCAGCAGGUUAAUACCCCGCUGUUCUGACGGUACCCAAAGAAUAAGCACCGGCUAACUUCGUG